rnacentral:tRNA from 1 species
GACGGUUUAGUGUAACGGUAGCACGACGGACUCCAAAUCCGUUAGUUAAGGUUCAAAUCCUUAAACCCUCGCC